UACGAGGGGUGCAAGCGUUGCUCGGAAUUAUUGGGCGUAAAGGGCUCGUAGGCGGUCUGUCACGUCGGGAGUGAAAACACGGGGCUUAACCCCGUGCCUGCUUCCGAUACGGGCAGACUAGAGGUAUGCAGGGGAGAACGGAAUUCCUGGUGUAGCGGUGAAAUGCGCAGAUAUCAGGAGGAACACCGGUGGCGAAGGCGGUUCUCUGGGCAUUACCUGACGCUGAGGAGCGAAAGUGUGGGGAGCGAACAGG
rnacentral:rRNA from 1 species